rnacentral:rRNA from 1 species
GUGGGGAAUAUUAGGCAAUGGGCGAAAGCCUGACCUAGCAACGCCGCGUGAAGGAAGAAGGCCUUCGGGUUGUAAACUUCUUUUAUGAGGGACGAAGGACGUGACGGUACCUCAUGAAUAAGCCACGGCUAACUACGUGCCAGCAGCCGCGGUAAUACGUAGGUGGCGAGCGUUGUCCGGAUUUACUGGGUGUAAAGGGCGCGUAGGCGGACUGGCAAGUCAGAUGUGAAAUACAGGGGCUCAACCCCUGAACUGCAUUUGAAACUGUUGGUCUUGAGUAUCGGAGAGGCAAGCGGAAUUCCUAGUGUAGCGGUGAAAUGCGUAGAUAUUAGGAGGAACACCAGUGGCGAAGGCGGCUUGCUGGACGACAACUGACGCUGAGGCGCGAAAGCGUGGGGAGCAAACAGGAUUAGAAACCCUGGUAGUCC